AUGAUUAGGUGCUUAUGAAGAAGAGACAAAACCUGUGCUUGCAAAAACUGAUCCCAGAGAAAUUCAAAAAUUUUACCAGGACUUCUAUGAGAAAAAUAUCAAAGAUGGCCAACAAAAAAAAAAACCAAAAGAGAUGGCUAAGAUAUAUCAAAUUGCAAGUGUGUUGUAUCAUGUGCUGAGAACAGUGGUGCCACCUUCAAAAGUGGAUGAACAUACACAAAGGUAUGCCAAAGAUGUAGAGGAGAAAGGAGAAUACCAUGAGCACUAUAACAUU